GGGAUGGUAACUCAGCCCGGGAGAGUGCAUGGCUGAAGACCAUGAAGUCGCGAGUUCAAAUCUCGCCCAUCCCA
rnacentral:tRNA from 1 species